GACGAACGCUGGCGGCGUGCUUAACACAUGCAAGUCGAACGGAAAGGCCCUGCUUUUGUGGGGGGCUCGAGUGGCGAACGGGUGAGUAACACGUGAGUAACCUGCCCUUGACUUUGGGAUAACUUCAGGAAACUGGGGCUAAUACCGGAUAGGAGCUCCGGCGGCAUGGUGGGGGUUGGAAAGUUUCGGCGGUUGGGGAUGGACUCGCGGCUUAUCAGCUUGUUGGUGGGGUAGUGGCUUACCAAGGCUUUGACGGGUAGCCGGCCUGAGAGGGUGACCGGCCACAUUGGGACUGAGAUACGGCCCAGACUCCUACGGGAGGCAGCAGUGGGGAAUAUUGCACAAUGGGCGGAAGCCUGAUGCAGCAACGCCGCGUGCGGGAUGACGGCCUUCGGGUUGUAAACCGCUUUCGCCUGUGACGAAGCGUGAGUGACGGUAAUGGGUAAAGAAGCACCGGCUAACUACGUG
rnacentral:rRNA from 1 species